CAAUCAACUGUGAUUUGUGAUGUGAAUGGUUCAUACUACUCUUGGGCAAGAGAGAAUUGUGCUAAAAGCUGUAAAUUUUGUCAAGUCACACCAAAUCAAGGUAACACUGAAACUACGACUGCUCUCUUUACGUCUGGAUUCCAUGAAGUUUGUAAAGAUACUUUGAAUUGUAAUGUGUACAAUGCAGUUCGAGUGUGCAAUAAAUCAGGGAUAUACUAUGAAUGGGCAAAGAGAAACUGUGCGUUAUACUGCGGAUUCU